AAAGCUUAUGCGGCAAAAUUUUCCUCGUUUUCCUCUUUUGGCCUAACCCCUCCUUUUUUUGUUCCAAACUUCCCAAAUUUCAACGCUUCAGAGCUGCUAAGUAGGAACGGAACGAUGAUCGGCCUUCCCUCAAUCGACAUUAGGGUUUGAAAUGAUGCAGAUUCAACUUAAAUCAAGGAAGGUUGUGCAAAAGCUAGAUAAAGGUCUCAGAGAAAUAAAGAAGUUUUUAGGAGAAAGAUGAUUUUAGAGAUCCUAGUUGGUAAAUGGACGUCAGGCAAUUUCAUCAAAGAGAAAACAAGUGGAAGGAACUCACAAAAGAGGAAAAAGUUGCAACAUUGAUUAGAUUGCAUAGUACUUUUCAAGAUAAUCAAAUUUUUAUUGUAGAAUAUAUUAGUUCAUCAUAAAUGCGACAAAAAAUAGUCUUUGUCCCAAAUUGCCUCAUCAGUAAUACAAUAUUUUUGACUAUUGAAUUAUCUUUGUAUUUUUUUUUAGAAUUGUAAUGGUCACUAAUCAUGACGAUUUAUAUUUA